UACGUAGGGUGCGAGCGUUAAUCGGAAUUACUGGGCGUAAAGCGUGCGCAGGCGGCGCGUUAGGACAGGUGUGAAAGCCCCGAGCUUAACUUGGGAAUUGCGCUUGUGACUGGCGUGCUGGAGUGUGGCAGAGGGAGGUGGAAUUCCACGUGUAGCAGUGAAAUGCGUAGAGAUGGAGAUGGACGGAAGCACCAGGAUGGCCGAAGGGCCAGCCCUCCUGGGGCCAAGCACUGACGCUCAUGCACGAAAAGCGUGGGGGAGCAAACAGG
rnacentral:rRNA from 1 species